UAAGCCAUUAUACUACCAAACUACAAAACCCCUUCCACCCCUAGUAUAUACUUUCAGUUGGGGCAACUACGGAGCAAAACAAAAACUCCACGAAUAAACGUCUAACACACGCAGUACCUCAGGCUGCCACGCCACACACCCUAGGCCCAGACCCAGUCUAACUGAACAACGGACCAAGUUACCCUAGGGAUAACAGCGCC
rnacentral:rRNA from 1 species